ACGUAGGGUGCGAGCGUUAAUCGGAAUUACUGGGCGUAAAGCGUGCGCAGGCGGUUCGCCAAGUCAGGUGUGAAAUCCCCGGGCUUAACCUGGGAAUUGCGCUUGAAACUAGCGGGCUUGAGUGUGGCAGAGGGGGGUGGAAUGCCGCGUGUAGCAGUGAAAUGCGUAGAGAUGCGGCGGAACACCGAUGGCGAAGGCAGCCCCCUGGGCUGAGAUUGACGCUCAGGCACGAAAGCGUGGGGAGCAAACAGGA
rnacentral:rRNA from 1 species